UUUUUGUGAGUGAGUGAGUGAGUGAGUGAGUGAGUGAGUGUGUGUGUGUGUGUGUGUGUCAAGGCGACCGGGGUAAAGGGGGGCGGUCUGGUUCUCUUAACUGCAAUAGCACGCUGCACCGGACGGAGCGUCACUGGAGAGUGCCUCUUCCCUCCAUAUCCCAGUGACCUGAAAUCCUGGCAAGUCAGCCAUUGUCACUGCAAAAAUGCUUAAUUCUAAAAUUUAAGGGGCUACUGAUGAGCCUUCUGUUUAAUCUGCCUAUCCACUUCUACGAAAAGGGCCUCUGCAUAUGUUCAAAGGCAUUUUUAUCUAUUUAUGUUUCAUCCAUUCCAAUACUCAGCUUAGUACUGAAAAGAGAUUUCAGAGCUGGGUUCCAGAAAAAAUUAUCCCCAUGCCUUGAGUAUAUUUGCAACAAGCUGGCCUCACAGGUAUCAGAAGAAAUGCCUGCUUCAACUGUGAUUUAUUUCCAGAUGUGGCCUUUACGGCGUGUGAAAGAUCAAAUAAAAUGUGGAAAAUUAUCAGAUGAUGGCAUUUCAGCAGCUCAGAAUCAGAGGGCCUAUUCCCUCAAGAUUUCAAGACAUGUUGCAGGAUUACCUUGAAACCUAAUCUCAUGCACCAACUGUUGCCUCCCUAUGGCCAAAAAAGCACAACCCUGCAUUGUACCCAUUGUGAUACAUAACUAAGGGCAGUUAAUGUUUGUACUUGUGCAGUUCCUAUAAAAAUAAAAUAAAGGUGUGUAUGUGUGCACAGGUACAGAAAUACCUAGAUUCAUGUCAAGAAUAAGAAGGGGGGGGGAGAGAAGGUACUGAUGAAAGAGGCCAGAACACACAUCAUGGAAGCAUUCCAUCAAGGACCUCCCUCUGCUAUGACUGGGAAACAGCAGUACAGCUAUAAGUGAAAGAAAGAAGGGCCAUCAUUAGCUCGGCUGAGAAGUUUAUUUGUUUGUUACAUUUAUAGCUCACCUUUCUUUCAUUACACAAACCCAGGGCAGCAUACUUUUGGUUCUCAGGCAGUCUCCUAUCCAGGCACUGACCAGACCUAGACUUGCUUAGCUUCAGCAAGAUAGCAGCCUCAUCUGCCUUUACACUCAGACCUUGGACUGUAGGACUGAUUAAGAUACCUUAAUCAGGCUUUUUCUUCCAUCAGCUGCCUCCGGCAGCAGCCAUUACACCAGU